GGUGGCUGAGGUUAAGCAUUAGACUUUUAAUCUAAUUACGGUAUUCUAGAUAGUACCCCU
rnacentral:tRNA from 1 species